UACGUAGGGGGCAAGCGUUGUCCGGAUUUAUUGGGCGUAAAGCGCUCGCAGGCGGUUGCGUGCGUCGAAUGUGAAAGCCCCUGGCUCAACCGGGGAGGGUCAUUCGAUACUGCUCGACUCGAAGGCAGGAGAGGGAAGCGGAAUUCCCGGUGUAGUGGUGAAAUGCGUAGAUAUCGGGAGGAACACCAGUGGCGAAGGCGGCUUUCUGGCCUGUUCUUGACGCUGAGGCGCGAAAGCUAGGGGAGCAAACGGG
rnacentral:rRNA from 1 species